CUGAACAGGCGGGCCUCGAUCCUGCAAAAAUUAGUUAACAGCUAAUUACCCAAACCAGCGGGCUUCUAUUCG
rnacentral:tRNA from 1 species